GUAGUGCAACAAACAGGAAACGGGGCAUCCCAAACUGAGAUCGCACCUAUUUGGGGUACUAAUAGGGCAGCCUAGCUGCUGACUGCAAUGCGGAACUUACAGUUUCAGGCUAAUGCUUUGGGAAACAGAGGAAUCACCAGACUGGAUCAAAUCCAUGGACCAGUGAGUGCAGAAUUUUGUCUCCAGCAGUGAUCAGCAUCCAGAUGCUUCAGAGGAAGAUGCAAGUAACCUCACAUUAGCAGAGAGGAGACAUUUCUGCAGGUAAAUAGCACUGCAAAUCAUUUGGGGACAUGCAGUUCAGUGACAGCCCACGGAACAACGUGUAAAGAGAAUGAAGAGGCACACUUAUAUGACCUCACAAUGGAAGUUCUGCGCCGGUUUUGACCUUGGAUUCGUGUACCCACAGGUUCACUCAAGAAGUACUCAUAUGGCUCUGUGACGGGAUCCACUCACUGC